rnacentral:rRNA from 1 species
AGCGAACGCUAGCGGCAGGCUUAACACAUGCAAGUCGAGCGCCAGGUUUCGGCCUGGAGCGGCGAACGGGUGAGUAACACGUAGGUCACGUACCCUAUGGUGGGGAAUACCCCGGGGAAACUCGGAUCAAUGCCCCAUAUGUCCGAAAGGAUGAAAGCGCUUCGGCGCGCCAGAGGAUCGGCCUGCGGCCCAUUAUUUAAUCCUAGGUGGUGAGGUAACGGCUCACCAAGGGUACGAUGGGUAGCUGGUCUGAGAGGACGAUCAGCCACACUGGAACUGAGACACGGUCCAGACUCCUACGGGAGGCAGCAGUGGGGAAUAUUGGACAAUGGGCGAAAGCCUGAUCCAGCCAUGCCGCGUGAGUGAUGAAGGCCUUCGGGUUGUAAAGCUCUGUCGUGGGGGAAGAAGUUCUGACGGUAACCCACAAGAAAGCACCGGCUAACUCCGUGCCAGCAGCCGCGGUAAAAC